rnacentral:lncRNA from 1 species
AAAAGACUAUUACAUGACCUUAUACAUUAGAGUUACACAAUUAAUCAUAAUUUAAACCACUAAAAUACCAAGAAAUACUACAAUGCUUUCUUUCAAUAAUAAUACUCCUUCAUCAACUGAUAACAACAAUAAGCAAUCCUAUACUCUCAAAAAACCGCUCAAAAGACAUAAAUUCCAUCCAACACUAGAAAUAACAGACUUCACUCUAACCAAUCUGGAUUCACACAAUUUCUAUAAUCAUAGACUUCUUCUGUUGAAACACAUACAAAUCUCAAUAAACAACAACCAUAACCUUCUAUCUAUAAUGAAUCUUCCAAUAACUUUUCAUUUAAUUCAAUCACACAGUAUCCCAAUUACAUAAUCAACAACUCAUAAAUCAAUCUCUAAU